CCUACGGGAGGCAGCAGUGGGGAAUAUUGCACAAUGGGGGAAACCCUGAUGCAGCGACGCCGCGUGAGUGAAGAAGGAAUUCGUUAUGUAAAGCUCUAUCAGGAGGGAAGAAAAUGACGGUACCUGAGUAAGAAGCCCCGGCUAACUACGUGCCAGCAGCCGCGGUAAUACGUAGGGGGCAAGCGUUAUCCGGAUUUACUGGGUGUAAAGGGAGCGUAGACGGGAGUGCAAGUCUGGAGUGAAAGGCGGGGGCUCAACCCCCGGACUGCUCUUGAAACUGUACGGCUUGAGUGCAGGAGGGGUAAGUGGAAUUCCUGGUGUAGCGGUGAAAUGCGUAGAUAUUAGGAGGAACACCAGUGGCGAAGGCAGCUUACUGGACUGUAACUGACGUUGAGGCUCGAAAGUGUGGGGAGCAAACAGGAUUAGAUACCCGUGUAGUC
rnacentral:rRNA from 1 species